rnacentral:rRNA from 1 species
GAUGAACGCUGGCGGCGUGCCUAAUACAUGCAAGUCGAGCGAAUGGAUUGAGAGCUUGCUCUUAUGAAGUUAGCGGCGGACGGGUGAGUAACACGUGGGUAACCUGCCCAUAAGACUGGGAUAACUCCGGGAAACCGGGGCUAAUACCGGAUAACAUUUUGAACCGCAUGGUUCGAAAUUGAAAGGCGGCUUCGGCUGUCACUUAUGGAUGGACCCGCGUCGCAUUAGCUAGUUGGUGAGGUAACGGCUCACCAAGGCAACGAUGCGUAGCCGACCUGCGAGGGUGAUCGGCCACACUGGGACUGAGACACGGCCCAGACUCCUACGGGAGGCAGCAGUAGGGAAUCUUCCGCAAUGGACGAAAGUCUGACGGAGCAACGCCGCGUGAGUGACGAAGGCUUUCGGGUCGUAAAACUCUGUUGUUAGGGAAGAACAAGUGCUAGUUGAAUAAGCUGGCACCUUGACGGUACCUAACCAGAAAGCCACGGCUAACUACGUGCCAGCCGCCGCAGUAA